rnacentral:hammerhead_ribozyme from 1 species
AUCCAGUUGACAAGUCCCAAAUAGGACGAAACGCGCGUCACACUGGAU